rnacentral:lncRNA from 1 species
CCCCCCCCCCCCCCCCCCCCCCCCCCCCCUCUAGACGCUGUGGGACAACUUUGAGCGCAGGGUGAUUGACGGAAGUCAUAAAACCAAAGUGCCGGCACUAGAUUUUUGUGGGGAAGAUGUUCAAGAUGGAGGUGUGGGAGAAGCUGCUGACCUCCAUGAGGAUCGGAGAGGUGGCCGAGUUCUGGUGUGAUGCCGUUGCAGUGUACCAGCGGGCUAGGGCGCACUUGGCUCUGUGCAACGAGCAGGAGGCCAGGAAGCACUUCCGGAUGUUGGAGCGUUUGGAGCCCAGGUUCAAGCCCAUCGUCAAUCAGGAAAAUAAGAGGAUGGCAGUAACUCUCGUAGCCUGUGCAGCUGGGACUCCAGCUGUUUGUUGUGGUCCUCCAGGAUCUGCAUGCGUGUCUCCAGGCGAGUCUUGUGCUGCCGGAGGACCCUUGCCUCGGCCAGGAGCUCCUCGUCCUGCUGGCCCUCCGUGGGAGAUCCCGGAACACCCUCACCUCCCUCCGUCAGCUGGGGCGCCGCCGCCGCCUCCUCAUGCCUCCACUUCAGCCGCCGCCACUCCCCCUGCAGCACCCUGGGGAAUAGGAGAGAGGACAGAGACAUCAGCAGACAGCAUUUUAAAGAGC